AUACGUAGGUCCCGAGCGUUACCCGGAUUCACUGGGCGUAAAGUGCGCGUAGGCGGUCGGGUGUGUCGUCCGUGAAAGCCCCCGGCUCAACCGGGGAACGGCGGACGAAACUGCCCGACUCGAGGGCGGGAGAGGCCGGUGGAGCUACCGGAGUAGCGGUGAAAUGCGCAGAUACCGGUAGAAACCUCGAUGGCGAAGGCAGCCGGCUGGCCCGUUCCUGACGCUGCGGCGCGAAAGCGUGGGGAGCGAACCGGAUUAGAAACCCUAGUAGUCC
rnacentral:rRNA from 1 species